UUACAUUUCACAAAUAUUUCAGGAAAUCAAUUGGUGGCACGCAACCUCCGGCCAUCGCAAAUUUGCUCUGGCGAUGAGAUUCCUUUGCAAAUCCGUCUGACACAUUUGCGCGUUGCCGGAAGCCACAUCCUCUUCCGUAAUUCUGCACACCUCAUUCUUCAUACGCAUCUCCCUCCAUUCACAUUUAUCCACCACAACUCAUACAACGAUCCUUCAGCCACCAUCAUCUCCGACCAUUAUUGUUGUCGCCAUUAUCGCCAAGUUCUUUUCUGUUUCACUUUACUUCAAUUUGAUUUAAAUCCACUAAUAUUUAGUUGAUGUGAGAAACCAAAGUUGUUAUCUGGAAGUAGUUUGAGAGAGAGAGAGAGAGAGAGAGAGAGAGAGAGAGAGAGAGAUAUGAAGAUGAUUUUGUAUUCAUUUUUUCUUCUUGCCAUGAAACUGAUCGAGGAAGAAGGGGAUGUGAGGAAUGAGAAAUGGGGCUUGGGUACUACUUUUGGGUGUUUUUUUUCUUCUUCUUUUGGUUACCAAGUUUUCCGUUAGUUGAGUUUUGAAAUGUUAGUUAGGUUAGUUAGUGAAUUAAAUGGUAACUGGCUAUUUCGGGUUAUGUUCAUAGAAACCAAGUGGAAUGUGUUGAUUGAAUGACUUGAUGAACCUAAUGCAGGUUAUGUGGUUUGAGCAAAAUGUAGGCUGAUGCAGGUGACUUGCAAAUUGUGGUUGUGACUCAGUUAUCUGCAGGUCAUGGAAUUGUUAGAUGCAUUGCAAGAUGAUGACCUGCAGGAUAAUGCUUCAGAUCAUGUUUCAAUUAUUGGAAGAUUGUGGAUUUGUUGACUUGCUAUAGGCUAUGGAAUUGUUGGCUAAAGAUCCAUCAUAAAGACAUGCUAGUGCAAUUUAUCUGCAAGGUAAAACCUGUUGUGAAUUGUUGCAAUUUUGGGAUUGCUAGGAUAUUUUGUGUUGAGCUACUAACAAUACUUAAGUUAGUUGGAUAUGUAACAAGGGCUAUAGGGCACAUUUUGGUUAGGGUAUGUUUUAGCUUGUUCACUUAAACUUGUAUUGUCAUGCCUUGAUGAAUAGUAUAUGAUGAUGCUUUCUUGAAACUAAUGUUACAGCCUGUCUUGGAUUGAUGAAUGUGGAAACCUUGUUUGGAUAUUGGCCUUGUAUGAAUUUUGGAUGAUGUAUGAAUGUAAUGAUUGUUUGUGUGUUACAUGAUGCAUGGCUAUAGGCUUGUGGAAUUAGACAUGGUUUCAAGGCAAGUUUCAAGGCAUGUCCAAAACCAAUUUUGGUGUAAAAAUGAAGUUUCUUAUUCAUGAAGCAAGUGACCAUGGAAUCUCAUGGAAGAAUGCAAAAGUGAAUAUGCAAUGCACAUUAGGGUUUAGGGGAUGAAAAAAUAGGUUAGUUGACCAAAAAGUCAACAGUUGACCAAAAGUCAACUUUUGUAAAAAUUUCAUUUUUUGUAUUUUCUUUUGUAAUAGACAAUAUAAAUGUUGUAUGAAUGAAUGAAUGGACCUUUAUUUUGAAUGUAAAUGGUCU
rnacentral:lncRNA from 1 species